rnacentral:rRNA from 1 species
GACGAACGCUGGCGGCGUGCCUAAUACAUGCAAGUAGAACGCUGAAGAGAGGAGCUUGCUCUUCUUGGAUGAGUUGCGAACGGGUGAGUAACGCGUAGGUAACCUGCCUUGUAGCGGGGGAUAACUAUUGGAAACGAUAGCUAAUACCGCAUAACAAUGGAUGACACAUGUCAUUUAUUUGAAAGGGGCAAUUGCUCCACUACAAGAUGGACCUGCGUUGUAUUAGCUAGUAGGUGAGGUAAUGGCUCACCUAGGCGACGAUACAUAGCCGACCUGAGAGGGUGGUCGGCCACACUGGGACUGAGACACGGCCCAGACUCCUACGGGAGGCAGCAGUAGGGAAUCUUCGGCAAUGGGGGCAACCCUGACCGAGGAACGCCGCGUGAGUGAAGAAGGGUUUCGGAUCGUAAAGAUCUGUUGUAAGUCAAGAACGGGUGUGAGAGUGGAAAGUUCACACUGUGACGGUAGCUGACCAGAAAGGGACGGCUAACUACGUG